rfam:Salmo salar isolate Sally breed double haploid chromosome ssa15, whole genome shotgun sequence.
UGCAUUCACUACUGUAAGUCACUCUGGAUAAGAGUGUCUGCUAAAUGACUAAAG